rnacentral:rRNA from 1 species
AGAUUGAACGCUGGCGGCAUGCCUUACACAUGCAAGUCGAACGGCAGCACGGGAGCAAUCCUGGUGGCGAGUGGCGAACGGGUGAGUAAUAUAUCGGAACGUGCCCAGUCGUGGGGGAUAACGUAGAGAAAUUUACGCUAAUACCGCAUACGAUCCAAGGAUGAAAGCGGGGGACCGUAAGGCCUCGCGCGACUGGAGCGGCUGAUAUCAGAUUAGCUUGUUGGUGAGGUAAAAGCUCACCAAGGCGACGAUCUGUAGCUGGUUUGAGAGAACGACCAGCCACACUGGGACUGAGACACGGCCCAGACUCCUACGGGAGCAGCAGGUGGGGAAUAGUUAGGAC